rnacentral:rRNA from 1 species
GAGUUUGAUCCUGGCUCAGGAUGAACGCUAGCGGCAGGCUUAAUACAUGCAAGUCGAGGGGCAGCAUGUCCCGCAGCAAUGCGGGAUGAUGGCGACCGGCAAACGGGUGCGGAACACGUACACAACCUUCCUUUAAGCGGGGAAUAGCCCGGGGAAACCCGGAUUAAUACCCCAUAGUAUGGUGAAAGGGCAUCUUUUACUAUUAAAGAUUUAUCACUUGAAGAUGGGUGUGCGGCUGAUUAGCUAGUUGGCGGGGUAACGGCCCACCAAGGCAACGAUCAGUAACUGGUGUGAGAGCACGACCAGUCACACGGGCACUGAGACACGGGCCCGACUCCUACGGGAGGCGGCAGUAAGGAAUAUUGGUCAAUGGACGAAAGUCUGAACCAGCCAUGCCGCGUGGAGGAUGAAGGUCCUCUGGAUUGUAAACUUCUUUUAUCUGGGAACGUAAAAAGGUUUUUCUAGACCGACUGACGGUACCAGAUGAAUAAGCACCGGCUAACUCCGUGCCAGCAGCCGCUGUAA